UAAAGAAAGCGUAAUAGCUCACUAGUCGAGUCGGCCUGCGCGGAAGAUAUAACGGGGCUAAACUGAUAACCGAAGCUGUGGAUGCGCAUUUAUGCGCAUGGUAGAGGAGCGUUCUGUAAGCCGUUGAAGGUGAAUCGUAAGGUUUGCUGGAGGUAUCAGAAGUGCGAAUGCUGACAUGAGUAGCGACAAACAGGGUGAGAUACCCUGUCGCCGAAAGACCAAGGGUUCCUACGCAAUGCUAAUCAGCGUAGGGUGAGCCGGCCCCUAAGACGAGCCCGAAGGGGGUAGUCGAUGGGAACCACGUUAAUAUUCGUGGGCCUGGAGAUGUGUGACGGAUCGCGGAAGUUGUGAGUCCUUAUUGGAUUGGACUUGCAGCCAAGUGGUUCCAGGAAAUAGCCUCUCCAUAUAGACCGUACCCGAAACCGACACAGGUGGUCAGGUAGAGUAUACCAAGGCGCUUGAGAGAAGUAUCCUGAAGGAACUCGGCAAAUUGCCUCCGUACCUUCGGAAGAAGGAGGCCCCAUCUUAAGGCAACUUUUGGUGGGGGGCACAGGCCAGGGGGUAGCGACUGUUUAUCAAAAACACAGGGCUCUGCGAAGU
rnacentral:rRNA from 14 species